rnacentral:rRNA from 1 species
UACGAGGGGGGCUAGCGUUGCUCGGAAUCACUGGGCGUAAAGCGCACGUAGGCGGCUUUCUAAGUCAGGGGUGAAAUCCUGGAGCUCAACUCCAGAACUGCCUUUGAUACUGGGGAGCUCGAGUCCGGAAGAGGUGAGUGGAACUCCGAGUGUAGAGGUGAAAUUCGUAGAUAUUCGGAAGAACACCAGUGGCGAAGGCGGCUCACUGGUCCGGUACUGACGCUGAGGUGCGAAAGCGUGGGGAGCGAACAGGA